AGACCUCUCGCGAUUGGAUGAGCCGAUGUCGGAUUAGCUAGUUGGCGGGGUAAAGGCCCACCAAGGCGACGAUCCGUAGCUGGUCUGAGAGGAUGAUCAGCCACACUGGAACUGAGACACGGUCCAGACUCCUACGGGAGGCAGCAGUGGGGAAUAUUGGACAAUGGGCGCAAGCCUGAUCCAGCCAUGCCGCGUGGGUGAAGAAGGCCUUCGGGUUGUAAAGCCCUUUUGUUGGGAAAGAAAACUUGCCGGCCAAUACCCGGCGAGAAUGACGGUACCCAAAGAAUAAGCACCGGCUAACUUCGUGCCAGCAGCCGCGGUAAUACGAAGGGUGCAAGCGUUACUCGGAAUUACUGGGCGUAAAGCGUGCGUAGGUGGUUCGUUAAGUCUGAUGUGAAAGCCCUGGGCUCAACCUGGGAAUUGCAUUGGAUACUGGCGGGCUAGAGUACGGUAGAGGGUAGU
rnacentral:rRNA from 1 species